rnacentral:rRNA from 1 species
AUUGAACGCUGGCGGCAGGCCUAACACAUGCAAGUCGAGCGGAUGAAGGGAGCUUGCUCCUGGAUUCAGCGGCGGACGGGUGAGUAAUGCCUAGGAAUCUGCCUGGUAGUGGGGGAUAACGUCCGGAAACGGGCGCUAAUACCGCAUACGUCCUGAGGGAGAAAGUGGGGGAUCUUCGGACCUCACGCUAUCAGAUGAGCCUAGGUCGGAUUAGCUAGUUGGUGGGGUAAAGGCCUACCAAGGCGACGAUCCGUAACUGGUCUGAGAGGAUGAUCAGUCACACUGGAACUGAGACGCGGUCCAGACUCCUACGGGAGGCAGCAGUGGGGAAUAUUGGACAGUGGGCGAAAGCCUGAUCCAGCCAUGCCGCGUGUGUGAAGAAGGUCUUCGGAUUGUAAAGCACUUUAAGUUGGGAGGAAGGGCAGUAAGUUAAUACCUUGCUGUUUUGACGUUACCAACAGAAUAAGCACCGGCUAACUUCGUG